CUGAACCUAUACCAUCCCGAUCCUAUCUGACCUCUUCUGAUCUAGGAAGCUAAGCAGGGCUGGGCCUGAAUUAGUAAUUGGAUGGGACGCUGACUGAGAAUACUUUUUUGUAUUCAUA
rnacentral:rRNA from 1 species